GACGAACGCUGGCGGCGUGCUUAACACAUGCAAGUCGAACGGAAAGGCCCUGCUUUUGUGGGGUGCUCGAGUGGCGAACGGGUGAGUAACACGUGAGUAACCUGCCCUUGACUUUGGGAUAACUUCAGGAAACUGGGGCUAAUACCGGAUAGGAGCUCCUGCUGCAUGGUGGGGGUUGGAAAGUUUCGGCGGUUGGGGAUGGACUCGCGGCUUAUCAGCUUGUUGGUGGGGUAGUGGCUUACCAAGGCUUUGACGGGUAGCCGGCCUGAGAGGGUGACCGGCCACAUUGGGACUGAGAUACGGCCCAGACUCCUACGGGAGGCAGCAGUGGGGAAUAUUGCACAAUGGGCGGAAGCCUGAUGCAGCAACGCCGCGUGCGGGAUGACGGCCUUCGGGUUGUAAACCGCUUUCGCCUGUGACGAAGCGAGAGUGACGGUAAUGGGUAAAGAAGCACCGGCUAACGACGUG
rnacentral:rRNA from 1 species